GUCUAUGGCCAUGCCACCCUGAACAAGCCCGAUCCUGUCUGAUCUCGGAAGCUAAGCAGUGUCAGACCUGGUUAGUACUUGAAUGGGAGACCAGCUAAGAAGACCAGGUGCCGUAAGCA
rnacentral:rRNA from 1 species